rnacentral:rRNA from 1 species
UACGUAGGGCGCAAGCGUUAUCCGGAAUUAUUGGGCGUAAAGAGCUCGUAGGCGGUCUGUCGCGUCUGCUGUGAAAUCCCGGGGCUCAACUCCGGGCUUGCAGUGGAUACGGGCAGACUAGAGUUCGGUAGGGGAGACUGGAAUUCCUGGUGUAGCGGUGAAAUGCGCAGAUAUCAGGAGGAACACCGGUGGCGAAGGCGGGUCUCUGGGCCGAUACUGACGCUGAGGAGCGAAAGCGUGGGGAGCGAACAGG